GAAUUUUGGACAAUGGGCGCAAGCCUGAUCCAGCCAUGCCGCGUGUGUGAAGAAGGCCUUCGGGUCGUAAAGCACUUUCGGCCGGAACGAACUCGUCUCCGCUAACACCGGGGAUGGAUGACGGUACCGGAAGAAGAAGCACCGGCUCACUACGUGCCAGCCGCCGCGGUAAUACGUAGGGGGCGAGCGUUAAUCGGAAUUACUGGGCGUAAAGUGUGCGCAGGUGGCCGCGCAAGUCGAGUGUGAAAGCCCCGAGCUUAACUUGGGAAUUGCGCUCGAAACUACGUGGCUCGAGUGUGGCAGAGGAAGGUGGAAUUCCAGGUGUAGCGGUGAAAUGCGUAGAGAUCUGGAGGAACACCGAUGGCGAAGGCAGCCUUCUGGGCCAACACUGACGCUCAUGCACGAAAGCGUGGGGAGCAAACAGG
rnacentral:rRNA from 1 species